rnacentral:rRNA from 1 species
GGGUUGUGAGGUUAAGCGACUAAGCGUACACGGUGGAUGCCCUGGCAGUCAGAGGCGAUGAAGGACGUGCUAAUCUGCGAUAAGCGUCGGUAAGGUGAUAUGAACCGUUAUAACCGGCGAUUUCCGAAUGGGGAAACCCAGUGUGAUUCGUCACACUAUCAUUAACUGAAUCCAUAGGUUAAUGAGGCGAACCGGGGGAACUGAAACAUCUAAGUACCCCGAGGAAAAGAAAUCAACCGAGAUUCCCCCAGUAGCGGCGAGCGAACGGGGAGCAGCCCAGAGCCUGAAUCAGUGUGUGUGUUAGUGGAAGCGUCUGGAAAGGCGCGCGAUACAGGGUGACAGCCCCGUACACAAAAAUGCACAUGCUGUGAGCUCGAUGAGUAGGGCGGGACACGUGGUAUCCUGUCUGAAUAUGGGGGGACCAUCCUCCAAGGCUAAAUACUCCUGACUGACCGAUAGUGAACCAGUACCGUGAGGGAAAGGCGAAAAGAACCCCGGCGAGGGGAGUGAAAAAGAACCUGAAACCGUGUACGUACAAGCAGUGGGAGCACGCUUAGGCAUGUGACUGCGUACCUUUUGUAUAAUGGGUCAGCGACUUAUAUUCUGUAGCAAGGUUAACCGAAUAGGGGAGCCGAAGGGAAACCGAGUCUUAACUGGGCGUUAAGUUGCAGGGUAUAGACCCGAAACCCGGUGAUCUAGCCAUGGGCAGGUUGAAGGUUGGGUAACACUAACUGGAGGACCGAACCGACUAAUGUUGAAAAAUUAGCGGAUGACUUGUGGCUGGGGGUGAAAGGCCAAUCAAACCGGGAGAUAGCUGGUUCUCCCCGAAAGCUAUUUAGGUAGCGCCUCGUGAAUUCAUCUCCGGGGGUAGAGCACUGUUUCGGCAAGGGGGUCAUCCCGACUUACCAACCCGAUGCAAACUGCGAAUACCGGAGAAUGUUAUCACGGGAGACACACGGCGGGUGCUAACGUCCGUCGUGAAGAGGGAAACAACCCAGACCGCCAGCUAAGGUCCCAAAGUCAUGGUUAAGUGGGAAACGAUGUGGGAAGGCCCAGACAGCCAGGAUGUUGGCUUAGAAGCAGCCAUCAUUUAAAGAAAGCGUAAUAGCUCACUGGUCGAGUCGGCCUGCGCGGAAGAUGUAACGGGGCUAAACCAUGCACCGAAGCUGCGGCAGCGACGCUUAUGCGUUGUUGGGUAGGGGAGCGUUCUGUAAGCCUGUGAAGGUGUGCUGUGAGGCAUGCUGGAGGUAUCAGAAGUGCGAAUGCUGACAUAAGUAACGAUAAAGCGGGUGAAAAGCCCGCUCGCCGGAAGACCAAGGGUUCCUGUCCAACGUUAAUCGGGGCAGGGUGAGUCGACCCCUAAGGCGAGGCCGAAAGGCGUAGUCGAUGGGAAACAGGUUAAUAUUCCUGUACUUGGUGUUACUGCGAAGGGGGGACGGAGAAGGCUAUGUUGGCCGGGCGACGGUUGUCCCGGUUUAAGCGUGUAGGCUGGUUUUCCAGGCAAAUCCGGAAAAUCAAGGCUGAGGCGUGAUGACGAGGCACUACGGUGCUGAAGCAACAAAUGCCCUGCUUCCAGGAAAAGCCUCUAAGCAUCAGGUAACAUCAAAUCGUACCCCAAACCGACACAGGUGGUCAGGUAGAGAAUACCAAGGCGCUUGAGAGAACUCGGGUGAAGGAACUAGGCAAAAUGGUGCCGUAACUUCGGGAGAAGGCACGCUGAUAUGUAGGUGAAGUCCCUCGCGGAUGGAGCUGAAAUCAGUCGAAGAUACCAGCUGGCUGCAACUGUUUAUUAAAAACACAGCACUGUGCAAACACGAAAGUGGACGUAUACGGUGUGACGCCUGCCCGGUGCCGGAAGGUUAAUUGAUGGGGUUAGCCGCAAGGCGAAGCUCUUGAUCGAAGCCCCGGUAAACGGCGGCCGUAACUAUAACGGUCCUAAGGUAGCGAAAUUCCUUGUCGGGUAAGUUCCGACCUGCACGAAUGGCGUAAUGAUGGCCAGGCUGUCUCCACCCGAGACUCAGUGAAAUUGAACUCGCUGUGAAGAUGCAGUGUACCCGCGGCAAGACGGAAAGACCCCGUGAACCUUUACUAUAGCUUGACACUGAACAUUGAGCCUUGAUGUGUAGGAUAGGUGGGAGGCUUUGAAGUGUGGACGCCAGUCUGCAUGGAGCCGACCUUGAAAUACCACCCUUUAAUGUUUGAUGUUCUAACGUUGACCCGUAAUCCGGGUUGCGGACAGUGUCUGGUGGGUAGUUUGACUGGGGCGGUCUCCUCCUAAAGAGUAACGGAGGAGCACGAAGGUUGGCUAAUCCUGGUCGGACAUCAGGAGGUUAGUGCAAUGGCAUAAGCCAGCUUGACUGCGAGCGUGACGGCGCGAGCAGGUGCGAAAGCAGGUCAUAGUGAUCCGGUGGUUCUGAAUGGAAGGGCCAUCGCUCAACGGAUAAAAGGUACUCCGGGGAUAACAGGCUGAUACCGCCCAAGAGUUCAUAUCGACGGCGGUGUUUGGCACCUCGAUGUCGGCUCAUCACAUCCUGGGGCUGAAGUAGGUCCCAAGGGUAUGGCUGUUCGCCAUUUAAAGUGGUACGCGAGCUGGGUUUAGAACGUCGUGAGACAGUUCGGUCCCUAUCUGCCGUGGGCGCUGGAGAACUGAGGGGGGCUGCUCCUAGUACGAGAGGACCGGAGUGGACGCAUCACUGGUGUUCGGGUUGUCAUGCCAAUGGCACUGCCCGGUAGCUAAAUGCGGAAGAGAUAAGUGCUGAAAGCAUCUAAGCACGAAACUUGCCCCGAGAUGAGUUCUCCCUGACUCCUUGAGAGUCCUGAAGGAACGUUGAAGACGACGACGUUGAUAGGCCGGGUGUGUAAGCGCAGCGAUGCGUUGAGCUAACCGGUACUAAUGAACCGUGAGGCUUAACCUUACAACGCCGAAG